rnacentral:rRNA from 1 species
AGUGAACGCUGGCGGUAGGCCUAACACAUGCAAGUCGAACGGCAGCACAGUAAGAGCUUGCUCUUACGGGUGGCGAGUGGCGGACGGGUGAGGAAUACAUCGGAAUCUACUUUUUCGUGGGGGAUAACGUAGGGAAACUUACGCUAAUACCGCAUACGACCUACGGGUGAAAGCAGGGGAUCUUCGGACCUUGCGCGAUUGAAUGAGCCGAUGUCGGAUUAGCUAGUUGGCGGGGUAAAGGCCCACCAAGGCGACAAUCCGUAGCUGGUCUGAGAGGAUGAUCAGCCACACUGGAACUGAGACACGGUCCAGACUCCUACGGGAGGCAGCAGCGGGGAAUAUUGGACAAUGGGCGCAAGCCUGAUCCAGCCAUACCGCGUGGGUGAAGAAGGCCUUCGGGUUGUAAAGCCCUUUUGUUGGGAAAGAAAAGCAGCAGGUUAAUACCCCGCUGUUCUGACGGUACCCAAAGAAUAAGCACCGGCUAACUUCGUG